AUUGAACGCUGGCGGCACGCCUAACACAUGCAAGUCGAGCGGCAGCGAGAGUAGUAGCAAUACUACUUGUCGGCGAGCGGCGGACGGGUGAGGAACACGUAGGAAUCUACCCAGAAGAGGGGGAUAACCAAGGGAAACUUUGGCUAAUACCGCAUAAUCUCGAGAGAGAAAAGCUGCCCGUAAGGGUGGCGCUUUUGGAGGAGCCUGCGUCCGAUUAGCUAGUUGGUAGGGUAAAGGCCUACCAAGGCGAUGAUCGGUAACUGGUCUGAGAGGACGACCAGUCACACUGGGACUGAGACACGGCCCAGACUCCUACGGGAGGCAGCAGUGGGGAAUAUUGGACAAUGGGGGCAACCCUGAUUCAGCGAUGCCGCGUGAGUGAAGAAGGCCUUCGGGUCGUAAAGCUCUUUAGGUUGGGAAGAGAGUAUGUUUGUUAAGAGCUGACAUAUGAGACGUUACCGACAUGAGAAGCACCGGCUAACUCCGUGCCAGCCGCCGCCGUAA
rnacentral:rRNA from 1 species